AGCGAACGCUGGCGGCAGGCUUAACACAUGCAAGUCGAGCGGGCCUUUCGGGGUCAGCGGCGGACGGGUGAGUAACGCGUGGGAACGUGCCCUCUGGUUCGGAAUAACUCAGGGAAACUUGAGCUAAUACCGGAUACGCCCUUUUGGGGAAAGGCUUGCUGCCGGAGGAUCGGCCCGCGUUUGAUUAGCUAGUUGGUGAGGUAACGGCUCACCAAGGCGACGAUCAGUAGCUGGUCUGAGAGGAUGAUCAGCCACACUGGGACUGAGACACGGCCCAGACUCCUACGGGAGGCAGCAGUGGGGAAUAUUGGACAAUGGGCGCAAGCCUGAUCCAGCCAUGCCGCGUGAGUGAUGAAGGCCUUAGGGUUGUAAAGCUCUUUUAUCCGGGACGAUAAUGACGGUACCGGAGGAAUAAGCCCCGGCUAACUUCGUG
rnacentral:rRNA from 1 species